rnacentral:lncRNA from 1 species
GUGGUAAAAAUAUAAAUACGAUACUCUGGAAAACCUCCCGGGUGAAAUGCUCACCGAUAUCCGUGCGCUUGUGGAUCAUUUUCUAAUUGCGUUACCAAAUAUCAACAAUAGCCGGAGCCAGUAGACAUGAACUCGAGACUCCCAAAUCAAAUCACCGUGGAGCGCGAAAUCGGUGAAGAAAGAGUGGCCAUCUGGAAAAGAAUGGGAAAUCGAUGAAAAACACGAAGGACCCCUACCUGGUGCGCCAACUGUCGGUGUUUUCCCCACGGGGGGUCACACCAACGAGUGAAUUUGUAUGCGUGCUCCCUUUUCCAGAUGGUGAUGCAAAAAGACACAAAGUUUUAUCCUGGUUCAGGCAAGAGAAGGCCCUACGUC